rnacentral:rRNA from 1 species
GACGAACGCUGGCGGCGUGCUUAACACAUGCAAGUCGAACGGAAAGGCCCCUUCGGGGUUACACGAGUGGCGAACGGGUGAGUAAGACGUGCGCAAGCUGCCCUUACCUGUGGGAUAACUGUCGGAAACAGAUGCUAAUACUGAAUAUACAUCGUCUCCUUCCGCGGGGGGGGUGGAAGUCUCCGGCGGUGGGGGAUGGGCUCGCGGCGGAUCAGCUUGUUGGUGAGGUAGUGGCUCACCAAGGCGUCGACGGGUAGCCGGCCUGAGAGGGGGACCGGCCACACUGGGACUGAGAUACGGCCCAGACUCCUACGGGAGGCAGCAGUGGGGAAUAUUGCACAAUGGGCGCAAGCCUGAUGCAGCAACGCCGCGUGCGGGAUGACGGCCUUCGGGUUGUAAACCGCUUUCAGUUGAGACGAAGGGUGACUGACGGUACCUACAGAAGAAGCACCGGCUAACUACGUG